rnacentral:rRNA from 1 species
ACUUCCUUCGGGAAGUGCAUAAAGUGGCGCACGGGUGAGUAACACGUAAGUAAUCUGCCCUCGAGUGGGGAAUAACGUCCGGAAACGGACGCUAAUACCGCAUAAUGCAGCGGCACCGCAAGGUGACAGUUGUUAAAGGAGCAAUCCGCUUGAGGAGGAGCUUGCGGCAGAUUAGCUAGUUGGUAAGGUAAUGGCUUACCAAGGCUACGAUCUGUAACCGGUCUAAGAGGACGGUCGGUCACACUGACACUGAAUAACGGGUCAGACUCCUACGGGAGGCAGCAGUCGGGAAUUUUGGGCAAUGGGCGAAAGCCUGACCCAGCAACGCCGCGUGAAGGAUGAAGUAUUUCGGUAUGUAAACUUCGAAAGAAUGGGAAGAAACAAAUGACGGUACCAUUUAUAAGGUCCGGCUAACUACGUGCCAGCAGCCGCGGUAAUACGUAGGGACCAAGCGUUGUUCGGAUUUACUGGGCGUAAAGGGCGCGUAGGCGGCAUAUUAAGUCAGCUGUGAAAUCUCCGAGCUUAACUCGGAACUGUCAGCUGAUACUGAUGUGCUAGAGUGCAGAAAGGGCAAUCGGAAUUCUUGGUGUAGCGGUGAAAUGCGUAGAUAUCAAGAGGAACACCUGAGGCGAAGGCGGGUUGCUAGGCUGACACUGACGCUGAGUGCGCGAAAGCCAGGGGAGCAAACGGGAUUAGAUACCCCGGUAGUCCUGGCCUUAAACGAUGAAUACUUGGUGUCUGGAGUCUUUAAAGCUCCGGGUGCCGUCGCUAACG